CAAUAGCGUAUAUUUAAGUUGCUGCAGUUAAAAAGCUCGUAGUUGGAUUUCGGGUGGGAAUGGCCGGUCCGCCGUUUCGGUGUGCACUUGCUACGCCCACCUUGCUGCCGGGGACGUGCUCUUGAGUUCACGCUCGGGACACGGAGUCGGCGAGGUUACUUUGAGUAAAUUAGAGUGUUCAAAGCAGGCCUACGCUCUGAAUACAUUAGCAUGGAAUAACACGAUAGGACUCUGGCCUAUCUUGUUGGUCUGUAGGACCGGAGUAAUGAUUAAGAGGGACAGUCGGGGGCACUCGUAUUUCAUUGUCAGAGGUGAAAUUCUUGGAUUUAUGAAGGACGAACUACUGCGAAAGCAUUUGCCAAGGAUGUUUUCAUUAA
rnacentral:rRNA from 1 species